rnacentral:rRNA from 1 species
GACGAACGCUGGCGGCGUGCUUAACACAUGCAAGUCGAACGGAAAGGCCCUGCUUUUGUGGGGUGCUCGAGUGGCGAACGGGUGAGUGACACGUGAGUACCCUGCCCAUGACUUUGGGAUAACUUCAGGAAACUGGGGCUAAUACCGGAUAGGAGCUCCUGCUGAAUGGUGGGGGUUGGAAAGUUUCGGCUGUUGGGGAUGGACUCGCGGCUUAUCAGCUUGUUGGUGGGGUAGUGGCUUACCAAGGCUUUGACGGGUAGCCGGCCUGAGAGGGUGACCGGCCACAUUGGGACUGAGAUACGGCCCAGACUCCUACGGGAGGCAGAAGUGGGGAAUAUUGCACAAUGGGCGGAAGCCUGAUGCAGCAACGCCGCGUGCGGGAUGACGGCCUGCGUGUUGUAAACCGCUUUCGCCUGUGACGAAGCGUGAGUGACGGUAAUGGGUAAAGAAGCACCGGCUAACUACGUG